rnacentral:lncRNA from 1 species
AUGUCUGAGGUUAACUUCAUUCAAUAUUACAUUAACGGUAUUGUAACAAACAGACAAGUUCCUGAAGUACGUGCUAAAACCCUGCAUCAACCAAUUUGUUUUGGUGUCACCUUGCAGUCAUCUACAGGUCACUGGUCCUCCGUCAGGGAAGCAGUGUUGUUGCCUGUGCCACAGUUUCCCCACUGUCACCAUUUGCUCAGCAGCUCUUUCCCAAUGUGUCAUCUUUCAGCAGGCACGACUUCCGUAACAGAGUGUCGAAUGUCCUCGGCGUGAGCAUCUCCAGGAUCACCAUCCUGCCCGGGUCUCUUUCCGCAGAAAGUGACGGACGGUGUCAGCAGGUCACCUUCGUGGUGUCAGGUAACGUGAGCUCCAGUGCACUGGCCACAGUCAAAACCAGUCCGCUAAUGGGCCAGUUCCAGGAAUCCCCCACCUGCAACAGAGACACUCCAACCACUACAAGCACUCCAACCACUACAAGCACUACAACCACUACAAGCACUACAACCACUACAGCUCCGCCUUCUAGAGCUGACGGCUUGUGGCCUGGCGAUACAGCCCUGAUGUUCUCUGUGGUUGCUCCCAUGUUUCUUCGACUGAUGAUCCAACAUUAACUUACUCACAAAGCAUGACCGUCCUCAACGUCCUGUUAUAACCUGGGGACGUGAACCAAGCACCAUUUAAUAGUUUCUGCAACUGGUUAAGGUAUCAGAGGCCAUUUAGAAAAAAGUCUCCUUUACUGUAGUCUGUCUACUUGUUUACAACAUACUUGGUUGUUUGCAUUGGGUUAGUAGCCUGUCGUCCUGUCUCUUGGUCUGAUCUACUCUGGAAAACAACAGGAUAGUUGGUACUGUUUUGUUUCAAUUCAAAUUGUUGAUUUAAAAAAUCAAGCUCUAAUGUAUAUGUUUAAUUAACUGUAAAUAUUAUCCUCUUCUCGUGAAGCGGGCUAUUGUAUACUUCUUGUUUCAACAAAGUUCAACAAUGUUUAAUUACCUAAAGAUGAAUACUUAUUUGAGGUUAAUCUGUUUUCACAAUACAUUUUAUGCACUAAUUACAACAAAAAAGCACUGGUAUGCUCUAAUUGUGAGACACUUAGCGAACAAUGAUACCGUGUUUGUAGUUGAAUGUGAGCUAAAUAUCAAAUUUGUACAUUUGUACAUUUUUUCCUUCAUCAUGCUUACGUGGAAUGUAUUAUCUUUGAAAUGCACUAUUUCAUGCAUCAAGUGACAAUGUGAAUGUAGAUAUCCUUUUCACUGUAUUAAAGGAAACUGUGAACUCUCA